GUGGGGAAUAUUGGACAAUGGGCGAAAGCCUGAUCCAGCAACGCCGCGUGAGGGAUGACGGCCUUCGGGUUGUAAACCUCUUUCAGCAGGGACGAAGCGAAAGUGACGGUACCUGCAGAAGAAGGACCGGCCAACUACGUGCCAGCAGCCGCGGUAAUACGUAGGGUCCGAGCGUUGUCCGGAAUUAUUGGGCGUAAAGGGCUCGUAGGCGGUCUGUCGCGUCGGGAGUGAAAACUCAGGGCUCAACCCUGAGCGUGCUUCCGAUACGGGCAGACUAGAGGUAUGCAGGGGAGAACGGAAUUCCUGGUGUAGCGGUGGAAUGCGCAGAUAUCAGGAGGAACACCGGUGGCGAAGGCGGUUCUCUGGGCAUUACCUGACGCUGAGGAGCGAAAGCAUGGGGAGCGAACAGGAUUAGAAACCCGAGUAGUCC
rnacentral:rRNA from 1 species